AUUUUAUGUGAUAUUUUGGUGUGAUAUAUUUAGUAAAUAACGAAUGAAGAAAAAAAAAUCUUUUUAAAGAUGUACACUACCAUUCAAAAGUUGUCUUUAAUCAAAACAAUAAUAUUGUGAAUUUUUAUUUUAUUAUUAUUAUUAUUACUAUUUAUUUUAAAUGUAAUUUAUUUAUUUAAAUUUAAAUGAUUACAUUUAUUUUAGCUGUUAUGGCAAAGGCCCAUUUUCAGCAGCCACUGGUAGUUUGUCUGAUGGGCUUGUGUUGCUCGAUCUUUCUCUGCAAAACACCCCAAGUAUGUUUUUUUGGAUUAAAGCCAGGCGACUGUCACAAUCUCCUUUCACCAGUCCAAUCACCUCUAUGCACUACAUUUCCCAUGAUCCUCCCUGGUCACCACCUGCUCACUAUGCUCAAUCAUCACACCUGUUUACCAUCAGCCUCAUCAAUACUGCUGUAAAAGCCUACACCAAAGGACUCUGUCCGGUCUCGUCGUAUCUACCAUAUGCUACUGAUGACCUAGCGGUGAUUUGUCUUCAGUCACUUUCAGCCGGGGUCCGGUUCUCCUUUAUCCUGUUCAGUAUCUCUAUCUGCAAAGACAAAGAAAAGAUUUCCAAAAGAUUGAUUUGAUCAUUAUUGCUAUAUCAGGUCAGCACAUCCUGCAGGUCUGGAAUGCCGGGCACGGGUAACAUCUCUGCACUGAACGUCAUUGCUGUGGAAGCGUACACACGUGAGGCUUGUAUGGUGGAUGCCAUUGGGCUGAAGAUGCUCACAAACCAGAAAAGAGGAGACUACUAUGGUGUUGUGUCAACUUAGUCUGUACGGCGAAAACGGGAGUUAGGCGUUCACCUGCUUUAUCGGGCGAUGCAGAUCUUCUUAGAUGGAGAACGACAGCUCCGACCCGCCGACAUCAGAUGAACCAUCGACACUGUGGCAUUACAGAAAACUGUAAUACUGAAGCAUAUGCAUACGCUCUUUACUAUUCCAAAAACAUUGACAUAUUGCUAUUGUUUUAUCAAUAAAUAUCAGCACUUUAUCAUUGACCGAGGACCAGCUACUGUGCAGCUGCAGAGAAAUUAUUACUUUAAGAAUUCAGAAAAUAACAAAAUACAAACCACAGAAGAUCAGCAGUUCGGAUUCCAAAUUUCAUUAAAUGUUUAUUUUUAAAUCUUUUUUUAAAUGUAUUGAAAUAAUUUUAAUGCAUAAAAUGAGCAACAUGCA